ensembl:lncRNA
UUACCAUCUCUUCUUAAUGUCUGGAGCUCACAGUUCUGGUCUGGGGCAGCAAAAUGGAAACAUCUUUCCUGAAAGAACGAAUGCGCUCAAUAAACCCUCCGCACACCUUCCGAGAGAAAGAACGGAUCUGCAAACGGUAGAGGCGUGCUGCCAGCAGUGCUGUAAUAUCCAUCGAGGGCCACCCAGAGGUUGUCCAAGAAGGAAACGCAACUAUUUCCAACUGAGCUCGGAGUCACGUCAAAGUAAGAGCUAUUUUUUAUCCUCAUACAAAACUGUUCUCCAUCUCUCAUCCCCCUCCCAGCCAGAGCUGAUUUUGCUGUGGGAGGCUGGACGUAUGAUGUAGAGUUUCUCCAUUAACAUUUAGCAAAGGCCAGAUUUAAACAUUUCCGUGCCAUCCGGCCAUUUUACACCUUUUAACAGUGUUCCUGGAUGAGCUCUGGCUUUCAUUUGAAAAUGUCUCGGUGAUAUGUGGCAUUCAGCAGAGCUGUCACCGUGCCCCUGCCCACACGCAGCAA